GAUGAACGCUGGCGGCGUGCCUAAUACAUGCAAGUCGAGCGAACAGACCAGGAGCUUUCUCCUUCGACGUUAGCAGCGGACGGGUUCUUAACUCGUAGGUAACCUACCUAUUAGACUGGGAUAACUUCGCGAAACCGGAGCGAAUACCGGAUAAUAUUUCGAACCACAUUGUUCGCUAGUGAAAGAUGCCUUUUCUUUCGCUUAUAGAUGGACCUGCGCCGUAUUAUCUAGUUGGUAAGGUAACUGCUUAGCAAGGCAACGACGCGUAGCCGACCUGAACGCGUGAACCCCCACCUGGGCACUGAGAAAGGGCCGAGACUCUUAGGGGGGGAAGCGGUAGAGAAUCUUACGCGAUGGGGGAGAGCGUGACAGAGGAACGUGGGGGGAGGGAUGAAGGUCUUCGGAUCGUAAAACGAUGUUAUUAGGAAAGAACAAACGUGUAAGUAACUGGGCAGGUAUUGACGGUACCUAAUCAGAAAGCCACGGCUAACUACGUG
rnacentral:rRNA from 1 species